UCUGCCUGUGGCUCAGUGAAGAAGAGCAGCUCCCACCCACUGCCUUCCAUUCCAGGGAUCACUUCCUUUUUGAGUAGAACUUGGGUUUGGAGGGGCUGUUUUGCUCCUCUUAUCCCCUGAUUCCUUUCUUUCCAAGGCAAAGAGGAGAAGACAUGUGGUGGGCUCCUGCCCUGCUUCUGGCUUUCCUGCUGCCUGAUAAAAACCAGGGUGCAGCUGUUGCCCCCAAGCCCACUAUUUUUCUUCCUUCACUUGCUGAGAUAAUUCUCCAUAAGGCUGGGACAUAUUUGUGUCUUCUUGAGAAUUUUUUCCCUGAUGUCAUCAAGGUAUAUUGGAAAGAAAAGAAUGACAACAGUAUUCUGGCAUCCCAGCAGGGCGACACCAGAAAGACUGGUGACACAUACAUGACAGUCAGCUGGCUGACUGUGCCUGAAAUGUCACUCGAUAGAGAGCACCAGUGUGUCGUCAAACACGAGAGUUAUACAGGAGCUGACCGGGAGAUUCUCUUUCCUCCAGUAAAGAUAGGAGCAUUAUAUGAAACAACACCCAGGACAUAUGUGACAUCCCCAACAGCACCCAGCACCCUAGGACCUGUUGUCACUUCUAUUCCUUGUGUGAAAGAUGAUCAUGAAAACGAAUCGCUGCAGCUGCAGCUCACAAACACCUCUGCGUGCUACACUUACCUCCUCCUGCUGGUCAAGAGCAUGGUCUACUCCGCGGCCGCCGCCUUCUGUGUGAUCAGAAGGACAGGUGUCUGCUGCCCUGGGAACAGCCCCUGACAGACGGUGGCACAGAGGGGUCAUCUUCCCUUCAUUGUGUAUUGACCCCAAAAGUGUCUGCUGAGAAUCCGGCUGGGCUAACGUUUGGGAUCUGGGUUAUAAUAGUUCCCAUAUAAUGUCAGUCUUGUAUGCUCAUUUUUCAAACCUGUGGAAAACAGGAAACUUUAUCCUGCAACUACAGUGAGCUUCCAGGGUAGCCUUUAGCUCCCCUCUCCCCACAGUCUACACCAGCACCUCCCGCCAACCCAGGUCUUCACGGCCUCAGUGUAGGCUCCAGCCUCACCCCUCAGUACCCUGCGGCCAGAUCACUGCUGAAAUCCUUCCAUUUACAAUUCCUGAAGCAGCUUACUCUGCUGCUUGAAUACUGUGCUUUGCUUUUCAUUAUAGCACAAUAAAUUUACACAAUCAAAGUCCACAAGGUGCCUAUAUUAUUGUUGAAUUUUCUUUUAAUAUUUUGACAAUAGAUUUGCUAAUUAAAUAAAAGAAUGAAAAUAUUACCAACAGUUUGCUAAAGGUACAGAAUCACAGUUAGUAUCCUUUAUCAGGUCUCUUGUCUACAAAUGUGCACUUAAAAUUAGUGCUAUAUGAGCAGGGAGGAAGCCUGACAUAGUUAAGGGAAAAGAAAACACUCCCCCUAAAAUAUACAUACAUAUAUAUUUAACUUUGUAUGAUCAACUUGGCAAUAGAAUACUUCACAGGUUAACUUAAGCUUUGAACACUCAUCUAAUCUAAAGAUGGAUGUGUCUGAAAAAUAUUAACCUUUGUUACCAUCUCAUUGCCAGAAUAAGUAGACAUGAAACGAAGUGAAAAUGUGUAACAAUUUCGAUGCUUACUAUGGAAUAAACAUUAGAACAUAA